AAUAUAUGCCUGUGGUGUAAGUUAAGGACCAUGGUUAAAAGAACCCAAAUAAUUUGGGCAAUGAUAAAAGCAUAUCAGUGCCCUUUAAGAUUAGAACUUGACGAAGGAAUUCGUAAGUUUUAGAAAAGGGGGGGAAUGAAGCCAGGUAACACCUGAAAAGUGAAUUUAAUAAAGCAAUGUUAG